rnacentral:rRNA from 1 species
UACGGAGGGUGCAAGCGUUAUCCGGAUUCACUGGGUUAAAGGGUGCGUAGGUGGGCGGUAAGUCCGUGGUGAAAUCUCUGAGCUUAACUCAGAAAUCUGCCGUGGAUACUUAUUUGUCUUGAAUGUUGUGGAGGUGAGCGGAAUAUGUCAUGUAGCGGUGAAAUGCUUAGAUAUGACAUAGAACACCAAUUGCGAAGGCCAGCUCACUACACAAU